UACGUAGGGCGCAAGCGUUGUCCGGAAUUAUUGGGCGUAAAGGGUGUGUAGGUGGCGCGCUAAGUCGGGUGUGAAAUUUCGGAGCUUAACCCCGAAACUGCAUUCGAUACUGGCGUGCUUGAGGACUGGAGAGGAGACUGGAAUUCAUGGUGUAGCAGUGAAAUGCGUAGAGAUCGGGCGGAACACCAGCGGCGAAGGCGGCAUCCUGGCCCUGACCUGACGCUGAGGCGCGAGAGCGUGGGGAGCGAACUGG
rnacentral:rRNA from 1 species